rnacentral:rRNA from 1 species
AGCAGCCGCGGUAAUUCCAGCUCCAAUAGCGUAUAUUAAAGUUGUUGCAGUUAAAAAGCUCGUAGUUGAAUUUCGGGAUCAAUACGUCGGUCGUGCUUCGGUACGUACUGGCGUCAUUGAUUUCUCCCUUCUGACGAACCAUGAUGUCAUUAACUUGGUGUCAUGGGAAAUCAGGACUGUUACUUUGAAAAAAUUAGAGUGUUUAAAGCAGGCUCACGCUUGAAUACAUUAGCAUGGAAUAAUGAAAUAGGACGUUCGAUCCUAUUUUGUUGGUUUUAGGAUCAACGUAAUGAUUAAUAGGGAUAGUUGGGGGCAUUAGUAUUCAAUUGUCAGAGGUGAAAUUCUUGGAUUUAUUGAAGACUAACUACUGCGAAAGCAUUUGCCAAGGAUGUUUUCAUUAAUCAAGAACGAAAGUUAGGGGAUCGAAGACGAUCAGAUACCGUCGUAGUCUUAACCAUAAACUAUGCCGACUAGGGAUCGGAUGAUGUUAAUUUUUUAAUGACUCAUUCGGCGCCUUACG